rnacentral:rRNA from 1 species
AUAGAAGCUACUAAGGGCAUACGGUGGAUGCCUUGGCGUCAAAUGCCGAUGAAGGACGUAGUACACUGCGAUAAGCUUCGGGAAGCUGUGUGCAAGCAUUAUUACCCGAAGAUCUCCGAAUGGGGAAACCUGCACGAGCGAUCCUCGUGCGUCCCAAGCUGAACACAUAGGCUUGGGAAGGGAACCUGGGGAACUGAAACAUCUAAUUACCCAGAGGAAAAGAAAUUAUUCCGCUAGUAGUGGCGAGCGAACGCGGAACAGCCCAAACCGGUUGUGCUUGCACAACCGGGGUUGUAGGGUCCAGCAUAUGGGAGUUACAAACCAGUCUGUUAGCUGAAUGCUUCUGGAAAGAGCAACCACAGCAGGUGAUAGUCCUGUAGGCGAAAACAGUCUGGCUCCCGCUGGAUACCUGAGUACUGCCGGGCACGCUAAUCCGGCAGGAACCCGGGGAGUCCACUCUCCAAGGCUAAAUACAUUUGACGACCGAUAGCGGACAAGUACCGUGAGGGAAAGGUGAAAAGUACCCCUGCUAGGGGAGUGAAAUAGAACCUGAAACCGUAUGCUUACAAUCAGUCGAAGGGCGUCUGGCCUGCCUUAGGGCGGGCUCGGCCUGACGGCGUGCCUCUUGGAGAAUGAGCCAGCGAGUUAAUAGUUGUGGCAAGCUUAAGGGAGUAACACCCGGAGGCGCAGCGAAAGCGAGUCUGAAUAGGGCGUACAGUCGCAACAAUUAGACACGAAACCCGGUGAGCUACCCAUGGCCAGGGUGAAGCGAGCUUAAAACCUCGUGGAGGCCCGUACCUACUAAUGUUGCAAAAUUAGGGGAUGAGCUGUGGGUAGGGGUGAUAUGCCAAUCGAACCGGGAGAUAGCUUGUUCUCCCCGAAAUAGCUUUAGGGCUAGCGUCACACGUUCAGUAUCGGGGGUAGAGCACUGAAGUGGCUAGGGGGCUUAUUGCCUACCAAACCGCAUCAAACUCCGAAUACCGGUACUCCAGAGUGUGGCAGUCGGACUACGGGUGAUGAGAUUCGUGGUCAAAAGGGAAACAGCCCAGACCAUCGGCUAAGGUCCCAAAAUUUGAGCUAAGUGGUAAACGAUGUGGGAUUACUCUGACAGCCAGGAGGUUGGCUUAGAAGCAGCCAUCCUUUAAAGAGUGCGUAACAGCUCACUGGUCAAGUGAUCCUGCGCGGACAAUUCAACGGGGCUAAGCUCAAUACCGAAGCCAUGGGUCGUGCGCAUCUUCGGAUGUGCAUGGCGGUAGGGGAGCGUUCUGCUUGCACUGAAGGUCGACCGGAAGGACGGCUGGAGCGGGCAGAAGUGAGAAUGCUGGCAUGAGUAGCGUAAAGCACGUGAGAAUCGUGUUCGCCGUAAGUCUAAGGUUUCCGACGCAAGGUUGUUCCGCGUCGGGUUAGUCGGCCCUUAGCUGAGGCCGAAAGGCGUAAGUGAUGGACAUCCGGUUAAUAUUCCGGAACCACCGCAGUUGAGUGAAGGGGGGACGCAGGACGGUAGAUCAGCCGACCCACUGGACAUGGUCGGUGCUAAACGGGUAGGUGUUGAGGUGCGCAGGGAAAUCCGCGCGCUGAGCUGAGACGUGAUGGCGUGGCCUAGAGCCUGAAGUGAUUGAGCCGAACUGCCAAGAAAAGCCUCGUAGCGUUGAGACUGUGGUGUCCGUACCGCAAACCGACACUGGUAGACGGGUAGAGAAUACCAAGGCGAACGGGAGAACCCUUGUUAAGGAACUAGGCAACAUGGCCCCGUAACUUCGGGAGAAGGGGUGCCUUUAAGCGUGAAGUAUGUACAUACCUAGCGCCUAGAGGUCGCAGUGAAUAGGCUCUGGUGACUGUUUAACAAAAACACAGGUCCCUGCUAAAGUGUAAACUGAUGUAUAGGGGCUGACGCCUGCCCAGUGCCGGAAGGUUAAGGGGAGAGGUUAGUCGCAAGACGAAGCUUUGAACUGAAGCCCCGGUGAACGGCGGCCGUAACUAUAACGGUCCUAAGGUAGCGAAAUUCCUUGUCGGGUAAGUUCCGACCCGCACGAAUGGCGUAACAACUGGAGCACUGUCUCAACAAGGGACCCGGCGAAAUUGAAGUAUCCGUGAAGAUGCGGAUUACCCGCAGCAGGACAAAAAGACCCCGUGGAGCUUUACUAUAGCUUGGCAUUGCGUUUGGGCUUGGUCUGUCCAGGAUAGGUGGGAGACUUUGAAACUGGGGCGCUAGCCUCGGUGGAGUCGCCCUUGGGAUACCACCCUGACCAAGUCUAGACCCUAACUUCAGACCGUAAUCCGGCUGGAAGACAGUGCCAGGUGGGUAGUUUGACUGGGGCGGUCGCCUCCUAAAGAGUAACGGAGGCGCCCAAAGGUUCCCUCAGGCUGAAUGGAAACCAGCCAAAGAGUGUAAAGGCAUAAGGGAGCUUGACUGCAAGACCAACAAGUCGCGCAGAGACGAAAGUCGGGCUUAGUGAUCCCACGGUACCGAGUGGAAGGGCCGUGGCUCAUCGGAUAAAAGCUACCCCGGGGAUAACAGGCUGGUCUUGCCCAAGAGUCCAUAUCGACGGCAAGGCUCGGCACCUCGAUGUCGGCUCGUCACAUCCUGGGGCUGUACAAGGUCCCAAGGGUUGGGCUGUUCGCCCAUUAAAGUGGUACGUGAGCUGGGUUCAAACCGUCGUGAGACAGGUUGGUCUCUAUCCGCUGUGGGCGAAGGGGAUUUGAGGGGAGCUGCUCCUAGUACGAGAGGACCGGAGUGGACAGACCUCUGGUGUGUCAGUUGUCGUGCCAACGGCAUAGCUGAGUAGCCACGUCUGGCAAGGAUAACCGCUGAAAGCAUCUAAGUGGGAAACCUGCCCCAAGAUGAGAUCCCCCAAGCUAUAUGCUUGUAAGACCGCAGAAAGACUAUCUGCUUGAUAGGCGUCAGGUGUACACGCAGCAAUGCGCUUAGCUUAGACGUACUAAUGGUCGAGAGGCUUCACAUAU